UACGAACCGUCCAAACGUUACUCGGAAUUACUGGGCUUAAAGGGUGCGUAGGCCGCGCGGAGGGUGGGAUGUGAAAUCUCCCGGCUCAACCGGGGAAUAGCGUCCCAAACCGCCGUGCUCGAGGGAGACAGAGGUGAGCGGAACUGAUGGUGGAGCGGUGAAAUGCGUUGAUAUCAUCAGGAACACCAGUGGCGAAAGCGGCUCACUGGGUCUUUCCUAACGCUGAGGCACGAAAGCUAGGGGAGCGAACGGG
rnacentral:rRNA from 1 species